rnacentral:rRNA from 1 species
UAGGGAAUCUUCCGCAAUGGACGCAAGUCUGACGGAGCAACGCCGCGUGAGUGAAGAAGGAUUUCGGUUCGUAAAACUCUGUUGUUAGAGAAGAACAGCGCAUAGAGUAACUGUUAUGCGUGUGACGGUAUCUAACCAGAAAGCCACGGCUAACUACGUGCCAGCAGCCGCGGUAAUACGUAGGUCCCGAGCGUUGUCCGGAUUUAUUGGGCGUAAAGCGAGCGCAGGCGGUCAAUUAAGUCUGAUGUGAAAGCCCCCGGCUCAACCGGGGAGGGUCAUUGGAAACUGGUUGACUUGAGUGCAGAAGAGGAGAGUGGAAUUCCAUGUGUAGCGGUGAAAUGCGUAGAUAUAUGGAGGAACACCAGUGGCGAAGGCGACUCUCUGGUCUGUAACUGACGCUGAGGCUCGAAAGCGUGGGGAGCGAACAGG